rnacentral:tRNA from 1 species
UGGCUCAGAGGUUAAAGCGUCUGCCUCCAAUGCGGAAGACCCGGGUUCGAUCCCUGG